rnacentral:rRNA from 1 species
UUAACUGGAGGGUUUGAUCCUGGCUCAGGACGAACGCUGGCGGCGUGCCUAACACAUGCAAGUCGCGCGAGAAACCAAGGCUUCGGCCUUGGGAGUAAAGCGGCGCACGGGUGAGUAACGCGUGGGUAACCUACCCUCGGGUCUGGGAUAACCUCUCGAAAGGGGGGCUAAUACCGGAUAAUGUCCCUGGGCGCAAGUCUUGGGGAUUAAAGGAGGCCUCUGCAUGCAAGCUUCUGCCCGAGGAUGGGCCCGCGUCCCAUCAGCUAGUUGGUGAGGUAAUGGCUCACCAAGGCUACGACGGGUAGCUGGCCUGAGAGGGUGGCCAGCCACACUGGCACUGGAACACGGGCCAGACUCCUACGGGAGGCAGCAGUGGGGAAUAUUGGGCAAUGGGGGAAACCCUGACCCAGCGACGCCGCGUGGGUGAAGAAGGCCUUCGGGUCGUAAAGCCCUUUCAGUGGGGAAGAACCCCCUAGAGGCUAAUAACCUCUAGGGCUGACGGUACCCACAGAAGAAGCCACGGCUAACUCCGUGCCAGCAGCCGCGGUAAUACGGAGGUGGCGAGCGUUGUCCGGAAUCACUGGGCGUAAAGCGGGUGUAGGCGGCCGGGUAAGUCGGAUGUGAAAGCCCGGGGCUCAACUCCGGAAGUGCAUCCGAUACUGCUUGGCUUGAGGCCCGGAGAGGGAGGCGGAAUUCCCGGUGUAGGGGUGAAAUCCGUAGAUAUCGGGAGGAACACCGGUGGCGAAGGCGGCCUCCUGGACGGCGCCUGACGCUGAGACCCGAAAGCGUGGGGAGCAAACCGGAUUAGAUACCCGGGUAGUCCACGCCGUAAACGAUGGGUGCUAGGUGUGGGGAGGUAAUCUCUCCGUGCCGUAGCUAACGCAUUAAGCACCCCGCCUGGGGAGUACGGCCGCAAGGCUGAAACUCAAAGGAAUUGACGGGGGCCCGCACAAGCGGUGGAGCACGUGGUUUAAUUCGAUGCAAAGCGAAGAACCUUACCUGGGUUUGACAUCAUCGGGAAUCCCCUGGAAACAGGGGAGUGCCCACCUUCGGGUGGGAGCCCGAUGACAGGUGCUGCAUGGCUGUCGUCAGCUCGUGUCGUGAGAUGUUGGGUUAAGUCCCGCAACGAGCGCAACCCUCGCCCUUAGUUGCCACCGGUUCGGCCGGGCACUCUAAGGGGACUGCCGGGGAUAACCCGGAGGAAGGAGGGGAUGACGUCAAGUCAUCAUGGCCCUUAUGUCCAGGGCUACACACGUGCUACAAUGGCCGGUACAGAGGGUUGCGAACCCGCAAGGGGGAGCUAAUCCCAGAAAGCCGGUCCCAGUUCGGAUCGGGGUCUGCAACUCGACCCCGUGAAGGCGGAAUCGCUAGUAAUCGCGGAUCAGCAUGCCGCGGUGAAUACGUUCCCGGGCCUUGUACACACCGCCCGUCACACCACGGAAGCUGGCUCUACCAGAAGUCGCUCGCCCAACCCGCUUCGGCGGGAGGGAGGCGCCUAAGGUAGGGCUGGUGACUGGGGUGAAGUCGUAACAAGGUAUCCCUACCGGAAGGUGGGGAUGGAUCACCUCCUUUCU